UGGGGAAUAUUGCACAAUGGGGGAAACCCUGAUGCAGCAACGCCGCGUGAAGGAAGACGGUUUUCGGAUUGUAAACUUCUAUCAAUAGGGACGAAGAAAGUGACGGUACCUAAAUAAGAAGCCCCGGCUAACUACGUGCCAGCAGCCGCGGUAAUACGUAGGGGGCAAGCGUUAUCCGGAAUUACUGGGUGUAAAGGGUGAGUAGGCGGCAUGGCAAGUAAGAUGUGAAAGCCCGGGGCUUAACUCCGGGAUUGCAUUUUAAACUGCUGAGCUAGAGUACAGGAGAGGAAAGCGGAAUUCCUAGUGUAGCGGUGAAAUGCGUAGAUAUUAGGAAGAACACCAGUGGCGAAGGCGGCUUUCUGGACUGGAAACUGACGCUGAGGCACGAAAGCGUGGGGAGCGAACAGG
rnacentral:rRNA from 1 species